UUUCAAGCCUUGACUGGGGGAGGAUUCACGUCCACGCUCACCCACGCGGCUUUCGGCAGAUGAUCCACAGCACAUCUCAGUUCCUGCUCCGUCGGCUGCCUGUGUGUCCUCAUGACAUGGCAGCUGGCUUCUCCUCGGGCUCUUGUCUGUGAGGUGUGUGUAUCCGGCAGAGUCGUAAGCGUAUGCUGAGGACACAGGCUUGCUGUGCUGGGCUAGGCGACCUCUGAGGCUCCUUCCAGUUGUUGCUUAAUCCUGCCUCCCGUCCCUACAUGGACAAGAGCCCGGCCCUUGGAGCCCGACAGACCUGGAUUCGAUUCUGGCUCUGCUAUUUCUAGCAGUGUUAGUAAGUCCAGUUGACAGAGUGCUGGAGAGGGAUUUCAGUGCGGCUCCAGUGUGCCUUCAAGGACGCCACAUCUGUCUCCGGGAGUUGAGGAGGCACCACCACCCUCGGUCUGGGCAGAGGAAGGGUGCGCAGAGCGUCCCCGGUGGGAGAGGCGGGGUCAUCAGAAACAGACCUGCAGACCCUGCCCCUUAUGUCUCUGUCGCCCCCUCGCUGGAAUCACUUGCUGAUGAGGUCUCAAAGCCCUCAUUUUUGAAGAAAACAGCUUAGCUCCAGAGAUAACAUUUCACAGACUCAUGCUCUCUCUAAACCAACGCUGCUGUCAUGCGGACCUAUUCUGAUGCCUCCCACACACGUGGAUUUUCCCGAGUCACCUUGGGUCUGCUCUUCCCUGGUCCUUACGGGGCUAUUGUGGGAGAGCUGGGCCAUCAGUGGCGUUGCCUUCUCGGCCACGACUUCAUCCGGGCAAAGCAGACCAGAGCAGACAGGGCUGAAGGCCUGCGCGGAGAUUCCCCAGAUCCUGGGGCCAGGCUUGGAUGUUAGCAGGUGAUUGUCGUACGGGGCGGGUGUUGGCAUUCGAUUCCGAUUACCAUCACCUUCAGUAUUAUUUGGAUAAAACCUCAAGUAACACCCAUGGAAGUAAAUGGCUGACUGAUGAAACAGUUUCAGGUGGUCCUUUCACCCAAAUCCCUGAACAAAAAAGCGGCGCCGGCUGCUCGCCUCGAGGUUCUGUCCUUUCUCCACUUCCUGUUCGGCCGCAGAGAAAGGCUCACUUGGGCCAAUAGAGCCAGCACAGUUUGGAAGGUUAAAAUUUAAUAUAUUUAGAGCUAGAAGAGCCAAUUCAGACAAUUUAAGCAAAACGUUAUUUUCUUUGAGUGCAGACUGUCUCUCCUGGAAGACUCAAAUCCUGUGUGUGGCUGGGCUAUUUCAUUUUGGCUGGCUGAGUUCAUUUGGCUGGUUCUGGCUUCACCUCUGCCCCGUGGUCCACCCCUUCCAGAGUGAAAAUAUUGACACAUGUGAUCUCAAUGGGAUGAUGAGGGCAGAGGGUGGAUGGGAUGACAGGGAGCAGGUUCUGCCACUCCGCCAACAUCCCGCUGUCGGGAGAACUGGGGAGCGUUUGGAUGUCUUCUAGGGGCACGCGGAGCAUCCUGGGCAGCUGGGAGGACCCACUUCCGUUCACCCUGUUGCUUCUGACCUCCUCUGAGGGCCGAGUGCUACGUGCCCCUCAGCACAGAGUGCCUGUGUGUGCUCAGCUCCUGGCUGACCGUAUGUCUGGCUCACAGGGGCUCCUCUUCUCAGUGAUGCCCCGAAAGCGAGCUGCGACUUCCCUGCACACCUCGCCCGCAGGACCCAGGAGGUAUGCCAGGAUCCCCUGGCCUCCUUCUGGCCCGUGAAUACCCAAGCACAGAGGAGAGGCAGCCUCGGGGGCCAGCAGACCGUACACUUACUGCGUCUGCUUUAGUCUGUUGUCUAGUCCCUCACUUGGUCUGGAAGUCAGGCUGGGAGAACAGAGGUGUCCGUCUCUGGGCUCUGUUACUAUGCCUGAUAGGAAAAGACCAGUAAGAUGUGAUCGCUCUGAAGAAUCUGACAGAGCCAGGCGGGGAGGUGGAGUGGGUGGAAAUAGAAGCAAAAAGGGACGUAGUGUGACGUGUGGGCAGUGGAGUGUGGGUUCAGGAGCUCCUGGCCCUGCUCAUUCAGCCUUGGCUGUACCCCAAGUCAUGCCACUUACUGGAUGAGUAACCCUGGGAAGUCACUGCACUUCAGUGCCUCAGUUUCCUCAUCUGUAAAAUGUGGAUCGUAGCGGUAAGCACCUCACAGUGUUGUGAGGUUUCAGUGAGACGAUGUGUGUGAACUGAUGAGCACAGUGGUGAGCACAAGGCGCCAGACUUUUUAGCCAUUGUUAUGAGUACGUGUGCCAUGGAAUCACUCUCCAUGAACACCAUAUUCUGCAAAGGGGUAAAAAGAAAUUCAUCCCUAUUGUGGCGUGAUGGUCGAUGAAACAACCGCAGACUGUACCUAAUA